rnacentral:snRNA from 1 species
AAAAUCAUUUCCCACUAAAAGAA